AGUGAACGCUGGCGGCGUGCCUAAUACAUGCAAGUCGAACGAAGUGGCGCACGGGCGAGUAAUAUAUAGUUAAUCUGCUCCACAAAGAGGGACAACAGUUGGAAACGACUGUUAAUACCUCAUAGUGUAGGAUGAGACUAUAACGUAUCAGCUAGUUGGUAAGGUAAUGGCGUACCAAGGCUAUGACGCGUAACUGGUCUAAGAGGAUGAUCAGUAACAUUGUAACGGAGGCACCGUCCGGACUCCUAGGGGAGGGAGCAGUAGGGAGAAUUACGCAAUGGGGGAGACCCUGACGGGGCAUCGCCGCGUGAAGGAUGACACUUGUCGAAGCAUAGACUCCUUUUAACAGGAAAGCGGUACCUGAUGAAUAAGCACCGGCUAACUCCGUGCCAGCCGCCGCGGUAAUAC
rnacentral:rRNA from 1 species